rnacentral:rRNA from 1 species
UGCAGUCGACGAACUUCCGUUAAUUGAUUAUGACGUGCUUGCACUGAAUGAGAUUUUAACACGAAGUGAGUGGCGGACGGGUGAGUAACACGUGGGUAACCUGCCCAGAAGCAGGGGAUAACACCUGGAAACAGAUGCUAAUACCGUAUAACAGAGAAAACCGCCUGGUUUUCUUUUAAAAGAUGGCUCUGCUAUCACUUCUGGAUGGACCCGCGGCGCAUUAGCUAGUUGGUGAGGUAACGGCUCACCAAGGCGAUGAUGCGUAGCCGACCUGAGAGGGUAAUCGGCCACAUUGGGACUGAGACACGGCCCAGACUCCUACGGGAGGCAGCAGUAGGGAAUCUUCCACAAUGGACGCAAGUCUGAUGGAGCAACGCCGCGUGAGUGAAGAAGGGUUUCGGCUCGUAAAGCUCUGUUGUUAAAGAAGAACGUGGGUGAGAGUAACUGUUCACCCAGUGACGGUAUUUAACCAGAAAGCCACGGCUAACUACGUGCCAGCAGCCGGCGGU